rnacentral:lncRNA from 1 species
GUUCUGAACUGCUGGACCGCUGCAUUUCCUGGUCCUUCUAUCUUGCAAAGAUAGAAGGCCUGAGCUUCUGGAGCAAUGGAUUGUUUUUUUCCUGAUUUCUCUGAGAUAAGAUGUAGCUGCUGCUACAUUUUAUGCCACUACCCAGAGGUUGUGGAUGCUGCAUCCCUGGAGGCAUUCAAGGCCCAGCUGGGUGUGGCUCUGGGCAGCCUGGUCUAGUGGUUGGUGACCCUGUAUAUAGCAAGGGGGUUGAAACUGGAUGAUCUUUGAGGUCCUUUUCAACCUGAGUCAUUCUAUGAUACUGGUUGUGUAGCCUCAUCAGAUCUUGGUAGGCACACACUUAUUACAAUCUCCUCUCUGGGAUUUGUAGUUCUGAGAACAGGAUAACAUACCACAGCUCUUUGAAAGCUGCUCUGUGAAGCAGGAAACCUCACCAGUAUUUGAGGCAACAUUACAACCAUAAGUCCCUCACUGUAGUAACAAUUUGCAAGAUAUCUGUUCUAAUGAUGGAAAGAAAAGGAGCCACACUGUCAGUACUCUGCUGAAGGCCUGCCUUGCUUCUCUUCUUUGCUGUGUGAUCAUGGAGACCACAUACAUGAAGAGAACCAGCCCUAUUGCAGGAGGCCACAGGAUCCGAGCCAUGGAGACCAAGAACACUCUACACUGGGUAGAACUCACCAGGGCAAUCUGUGGUUGGGCUGGCAGGUCAAGUAGCUACAAUCCUACCCUCAGGAAAGAGUAGGUGGCAGAAAAUAAAACACCACCGUAAAAGAGAUUGUCUCACACCCUUGCUUUUACACAGCUGCAAUCAAGGUAGGGUUGUGUAGGUUCCUCAGCUUGACUGUGUAUACUAUCAUGUGAAGUCCUGUCAAAACUGAGCUUUAUAGAAAGAAGGACGUGCCCCACAGCCAGCUUUCAGUGAUAGAAGCUUUUGCACCCUUUUGAAUAUUGUAUGAGAAAGAAAUAUGCCAGAGAAAAAUAAAACUGCCUUCAUUUUAGUGAAGCUUUUUUUCUUACGGCUACCACCCACUCAGCUUCAAAGAAAUAAACAUUGCGAAGUGGACACACAGCCUCCAGUGCCCAGACACUGAUGGGGUGCUCUGGGAUGCAUAAAACUUCCUGACAAAGAACAGCAGCACCAGCAAACGUGCAAGGUAAUAGCAAAAAUACACAGAGCUAAGCACUUGU